rnacentral:rRNA from 1 species
AGUUUGAUCCUGGCUCAGAACGAACGCUGGCGGCGUGCCUAACACAUGCAAGUCGAACGGAAUUGAGGGGCUUGCUCUUCAAUUUAGUGGCGCACGGGUGAGUAAUGCGUAGAUAAUCUGCCUGAUGAUCCGGGAUAACAUUCCGAAAGGGGUGCUAAUACCGGAUAAGCCCACGGAGUCUUCGGACACUGCGGGAAAAGGGGGGGACCUUCGGGCCUUCUGUCAUCAGAUGAGUCUACGUACCAUUAGCUAGUUGGUGGGGUAAAGGCCUACCAAGGCUACGAUGGUUAGCUGGUCUGAGAGGAUGAUCAGCCACACUGGAACUGAGACACGGUCCAGACUCCUACGGGAGGCAGCAGUGGGGAAUUUUGCGCAAUGGGGGAAACCCUGACGCAGCAACGCCGCGCGAGUGAUGAAGGCCUUCGGGUCGUAAAGCUCUGUCAGUGGGAAAGAAGUGUAUUACGGUUAAUACCUGUGAUACUUGACGGUACCCACAAAGGAAGCACCGGCUAACUCCGUGCCAGCAGCCGCGGUAAUAC